AGGACUGCCUGACACCCCAGGCAGUCCCCUUCCUGCAAUUUAGGCCCCUGCAGGCCAAGGGCCAGAUUAAGAGCCAAGUGGACCUGGUGCUGACAAUUAUGAUGGGCCUAAUGACAAAAUAUUAUCGACCAAAAACACUAAAACAGUCCUACCUCCCAAGCGUCAUCUAUCUGAUGGAGAUGGUGCUUGAGGGAAACUCAUAGGAUAUAGCUAUGAGACAACACAUACCCUAUGCUAAUCUCACACUUUUGUCUUUCAAGUAAAUCCAUACCGCCUAACAUCAGUGUACAGGAAGUCUAUGGACAGGGUAAAAGGGUGGGCCACUGACACAAAC